rnacentral:lncRNA from 1 species
UACCCGGUGUGUAUCAGCCAUCAGAGCCAUGGAGUUUGGUGAGGACGGAGCUUGGAGUAAACCUCGACACGCCCCUACCUGGCACGCCAAAUGUUGGAUUUCGGGCUCUGCAAAACCCUAAGGACUCAAACACUGGCGCGUGUACAAAGAUCUCCCCUUCUUCGCCUCGCCUGUCUCACUACUCGAUGGAAACAAUGAAGGACUCACUAGAAGGUGAGGAGAACACAGAACCCAGCAACUUACCCAGGUUCGAGCCGCUAUGAAGCGUAAAACCCUAAUACUGCUUUGGAGGAUUGCCUCUCUUCAAGGUUGAGGAACGAGAUGGUACAUGGCUUUUGCGCCUCCGGAGGCCAAGUGGCUAAGCGUGCUGCACUAGGGUUUCGAUCCCCUCUCUCAAGUAUCUGUUGGGCAAGGUUGCAUGGGAAACAAAAAAAUUCCUACGCACACGAAGACCUAUCAUGGUGAUGUUCAUCUACGAGAGGGAGGUCAUAUCCACAUACCCUUGUAGAUCGCUAAGCACGAAGUGUUAAGAAAUGUAGUUGAUGUAGUGGAACAGCUUUGUGAUUCAAAUCACCAUUGUCCCACGAUCCGUCCCGAUCUAGUACCGAACGGACCACACCUCUGCGUUCAGCGCACGUACAGCUCGAUGACGAUCUCUGCCUUCUUGAUCCAGCAAGAGAGACGGGGAUGUAGAUGAGUUCUCCGGCAGCGUGAUGGCGUGCUGGUGAUGGUGAUGAUCUAUUCCUACAGGGCUCCGCCCGACCUCCGCAAAAAACCGAUCUAGAGGAAGAACUACGAAGUAGAGGUUUAGGGUUUCAUGUGGCAAAGUUUUUUCUCAAGAACACUAAAAUCUCUAGUAUAUAUAGUAGGAGGGGAGGGGCUAGCCUUGGGGAUCAAGAGAGCCCCUAGGGCGUCGGCCGAGUGGAGGAGGAGGGACUCCCACUCCAAUUCGGUUUGGGAAGGAGGAGUCCCUUCCUUCCUUCCCACCUCCCUCUUUUUUUUCUCCUUUGAUUUUUCCUCUUGGACGAAAUAGCCCUAUUAGGCUGGCCUCACCAGCCCACCAAGGGCUGGUGCGCCACCCAUGGCCUAUUAGGUUCUCUCCCGGGUGGGUGGCCCCCUCCCGGUAAAAACCCGGAACCCAUUCAUCACUCCCGGUACACUGCCGGUAAUGCCCGAAAUCUUUCCGGAAGCCAAAUGAAACAAUCCUAUAUAUCAAUCUUCGUUUCCGGACCAUUUCGGAAACUCACUUGAUGUCUGUCAUCUCAUCCGGGAGUCCCAACAAACCUUCGGUCGCCAACACCUAUAACUCAACUAUACUGAAACGUCACCGAACCUUAAGUAUGCAGACCCUGCGGGUUCGAGAACAAUGCAGACAUGACCUGAGACACUCCCUGAUCAAUAUCCAAUGGAGGGACCUGGAUGUCCAUAUUGGAUCCUACAUAUUCUACAAAGAUCUUAUCAGUUGAACCUCUGUGCCAAGGAUUCAUAUAAUCCCGUAUACCAUUCCCUUUGUCCUUCGGUAUGUUACUUUCCCGAGAUUCGAUCGUCGGUAUCCCUAUACCUAUUUAAAUCUCGUUACCGGCAAGUCUCUUUACUCGUUCUGUAAUACAAGAUCCUGUGACAAACACUUUAGUCACAUUUCUUGCAAGGCUUAUAUGUGAUGUUGUAUUACCGAGUGGGCCCCGAGAUACCUCUCCGUCACANNNNNNNNNNNNNNNNNNNNNNNNNNNNNNNNNNNNNNNNNNNNNNNNNNNNNNNNNNNNNNNNNNNNNNNNNNNNNNNNNNNNNNNNNNNNNNNNNNNNAGCAUGUUUUCUCGAGCCAUGUUGGUACAUGAACAUGGACAUACACAUAUUCUUAGGAACAAAUAAGAAAGAUAAAUGGAGAAGGAAAACCCAAAGCAAUGUCAGAGUUGACAAAACUGCAAUGGCACUUUAUAUGUGGCCCAUCGUCAGUGAGCUGUUUAUGCCUUGCCGGACUCCUCGCAGCCUGGUGGCUUGAAGGCGAUGAAGCUGACGCACUGCACCUGACGCAUGUUGUCGAAUCCGAUGAUGCGGACAUACGCGUCAGGGUACUCCUUCUUGACCUCCUCCACCUCGUUGAGCACCUGUGUGGCGUCGGUGCAUCCGAACAUAGGCAGCUUCCACAUUGUCCAGUACCGGCCAUCGUAGUACCCAGGAGAUGCGUUGUGCUCACGGAAGAUGAACCCAACCUUGCUGAACUCGAGGCAAGGCACCCACUUGGAGCGGAUCAGGUAGUCGACCUGCUUAAGGAGGGCCUCCGUGCUGAGUGGUGGCAAGUAAGACAGGGUCUCGAACUUCUUGAUGCCCUCGAUGGGCCACACCUGCAAAUCAGAUUCACGUCUAUACAUUAAGAGACUAUAACUCUAGUUCUACACGUUUGAUUGUUCUUCUUGACAUCCGUCGGCUUAAAAAUGACUAGAAAGACAGAGACGAUGUUGUUUACCUGCAUGCACCUGAUCCUUCCACCGUUGCUGACGCUGCCGAGGCUAGCACCGUUCGAGCGGCGGCUGACGGGGAGGCCGGCGGUGGACUUGAGCCCCUGGAAAGGAGCGACGGAGGUGGCCGACGAGGCCAUCACGGUGGGGGCCAUAGCUGUACUAUGUAGGUAUAUAGCUUGCUAGAGGGAGGCACACUGGCUUGAGGACUG